rnacentral:rRNA from 1 species
UACGUAGGCGGCAAGCGUUGUCCGGAUUUACUGGGCGUAAAGGAUGCGUAGGCGGAUGUUUAAGUGAGAUGUGAAAUACCCGGGCUUAACUUGGGUGCUGCAUUUCAAACUGGAUAUCUAGAGUGCAGGAGAGGAAAGUGGAAUUCCUAGUGUAGCGGUGAAAUGCGUAGAGAUUAGGAAGAACACCAGUGGCGAAGGCGACUUUCUGGACUGUAACUGACGCUGAGGCAUGAAAGCGUGGGGAGCAAACAGG